rnacentral:rRNA from 1 species
AUUGAACGCUGGCGGCAGGCUUAACACAUGCAAGUCGAGCGAGCGGCGGACGGGUGAGUAAUGUCUGGGAAACUGCCUGAUGGAGGGGGAUAACUACUGGAAACGGUAGCUAAUACCGCAUACCAUAAGAUGUGCCCAGAUGGGAUUAGCUAGUGGGUGGGGUAAUGGCUCACCUAGGCGACGAUCCCUAGCUGGUCUGAGAGGAUGACCAGCCAAACGGGGACGGAGACACGGCCCGGACUCCUACGGGAGGAAGCAGUGGGGAAAAUGGCACAAGGGGGGCAAGCCGAAGACAGCCAGGCCGCGUGAUGUAAGAAGGCCUUCGGGUGGUAAAGUACUUUCGGCAGUGAGGCUUUACCUACAGAAGAAGCACCGGCUAACUCCUUGCCAGCAGCCGCGGUAAUAC